rnacentral:rRNA from 1 species
AUUGAACGCUGGCGGCAGGCCUAACACAUGCAAGUCGAACGGUAACAGGAAGCAUCUUGCUGCUUUGCUGGCGAGUGGCGGACGGGUGACCAAUGUCUGGGCAACUUCUCGGUGGAGGAGGAUCACGAAUGGAAGCGGUUACUACAUCCGCAUAACGGCGCAAGACCAAGGAUGGUGGCCCUCGGGCCUCUUGGAAUAGGCUGUGCCGAGGUGGGAUUUGGUAGUAGGUGGGGUAACGGCUCACCUCGGCGCCGAACCGUAGCUGGUCUGAGAGGAUGACCAGCCACACUGGAACUGAGACACGGUCCAGACUCCUACGGGAGGCAGCAGUGGGGAAUAUUGCACAAUGGGCGCAAGCCUGAUGCAGCCAUGCCGCGUGUAUGAAGAAGGCCUUCGGGUUGUAAAGUACUUUCAGCGGGGAGGAAGGGAGUAAAGUUAAUACCUUGGCGCAUUGACGUUACCCGCAGAAGAAGCACCGGCUAACUCCGUG